rnacentral:rRNA from 1 species
AUUGAACGCUGGCGGCAUGCCUUACACAUGCAAGUCGAACGGUAGAGGGGCAACCCUCGAGAGUGGCGAACGGGUGAGUAAUGCAUCGGAACGUACCCAGUUGUGGGGGAUAGCUCGGCGAAAGCCGGAUUAAUACCGCAUACGCCCUGAGGGGGAAAGCGGGGGACUCGCAAGAGCCUCGCGCAAUUGGAGCGGCCGAUGUCAGAUUAGCUAGUUGGUGGGGUAAAAGCCUACCAAGGCGACGAUCUGUAGCUGGUCUGAGAGGAUGACCAGCCACACUGGGACUGAGACACGGCCCAGACUCCUACGGGAGGCAGCAGUGGGGAAUUUUGGACAAUGGGCGCAAGCCUGAUCCAGCCAUGCCGCGUGCGGGAAGAAGGCCUUC